rnacentral:tRNA from 1 species
UCGUUAGCUCAGCUGGUAGAGCAACGGACUCUUAAUCCGAAGGUCGGGAGUUCGAUCCUCCCA